CCAGCGAGAAGGGGACCCUUAGGGUGGGGGGACCUAAGGGUUAUAUAGUGUCAGGAACACAAGUUUGUUUUCCUGACACUAUAGUGAUCCUUUAAGUUUUAACCCCUUAAGGACACAGCUUCUGAAGCUUGUCUUACGCUUAAUGACACAAGCAAUUUUUUAAUUUUUUUGUUGUUUGCAUUCAACUGCAAUUUGCAUUUUACGAAUUUAUUGCACCAACACAUAUUAUAUAUAGUGAUGUCGCGAACCGUUGAAGGCAGCUUCAACAUGGAUGCUGUCCAGGAGGUGGGAGGAUCUGGGAGGGAGGGUCUGCUGGAGAUUGGCCGGGAUGUGUCAGCUGACCGGAGCUCGUCGCGAACGGUUCGUGGCGAACCGCGGCGAGCCGUUCGCGGGAAGUUGUGAACGGUUCGCGACAUCACU